rnacentral:rRNA from 1 species
CCUACGGGAGUCAGCAGUGAGGAAUAUUGGUCAAUGGACGGAAGUCUGAACCAGCCAUGCCGCGUGCAGGGAGACGUCUCUAUGAGUUGUCAACUGCUUUUGUACAAGGGUAAACCUGAAUACGUGUAUUCAGCUGAAAGUACUGUACGAAUAAGAAUCGGCUAACUCCGUGACAGCAGCCGCGGUAAUACGGAGGAUCCAAGCGUUAUCCGGAUUUAUUGGGUUUAAAGGGUGCGUAGGCGGAUUUAUAAGUUAGAGGUGAAAUGUUCGGGCGUAAUUCGGGAACUGCCUUUAAUACUGUUGAGCGAGAGAGUAGAUGCGGUAGGCGGAAUGUAUGGUGUAGCGGUGAAAUGCUUAGAGAUCAUACAGAACACCGAUGGCGAAGGCAGCUUACCAAUCUAUAUCUGACGUUGAGGCACGAAAGCGUGGGGAGCAAACAGGAUGAGAUACCCAGGUAGUC